AUGUUACUAUUGCAUCAGGAACAUCUAAACCAGCUGUGUGUGAUAAUUCAGAGGUGUGUGAACCAACACUGCAUGGAGACAACACGGACAUGAGCACACAAGAGAAAACAGUGCUUGGUUUGGGAACGGCUUUGGGCUUGUGUGCACUUCUGAUUUUCUGCCUCAUUUAUUUCAUACUGAGGAGAAGAAAAUGUGAUAAAAUGAAUGCUUCUAUAGAAGAUUCUCCAGGAACGAGGCAGGAAUCUGAGGCCGAAACACUGAAUUAUGCAGCUUUGCAAUUCUCCAAGAGGAAAGCCAAAGGUGGAAAAAGAAACACCGGCUCAUCAGAUGAGUGUGUGUACUCCGAUGUAAAUAAAACUGUAAGAUGUAACAUAAAUAAUUAUUAACAGAUGGUACUAUUACACUGCAAAAACAGUAAAGAUAUUUAAGCAAGUGGAAAUAUGUUGAUGCUAAUUUAUUCCAUAUUUUCAUCAUCAUAAUUAUAAUUUAUACAAUUAAUAAGCUAUUAACAAUUAAUAGCUUAUUAAACCAACAUUUUUGCUAAUUUAAAAGCAAAAACAAAAUGAUAAAAUCUAGAAGCAGAAUUGUUGUAUAUGUCAAGAGUUAAAAAAAAAGAAAAAAUGCCUAGAAAUAUAUGUUUAAUAAUCUCAUAGUAAGAAAUAUUGCAUAAAUUUGCCUAUAUUCAAGGUAUUUUUUUAUUUUAUUUUUUUAUUUUUAGUUUCAGUGUAUAGCUAAACUUCCCUGCCACACGUCUUACUCCUGUUCAAAAUAAUCUGAUUGUCCUUUUUUCUUUCAAUUUUUUUCUUUCAAUUUUUUUUUUUUUUUGUUCAACGAUCCAACAUUUUUUAUUCUGUGGCUACAGUGUUGCACUUUGUGAAGAUGUUGUGGUAUCAUCUGUAUGAUUUUGCCUUAUUUGACUUUUGACUAUACAAUAAAUGUAUAAAGAAUUUAAUUAAAAAUGUAACAAAAACGUCCUCUUAAACAUUAUUCUAAAAUUUUUGAGCAAAUGUAAUGCUCCAGUGUAAUGUAUUUUCAAAAAAAUGUGUGUUGGACUUAAACCAAAGGCCACGGGGGAAAAAAAAAAUUUAAACACAUUUUACAUUAACCAAAGUGAAUAAUCAAACAAGAAAGAUGAAGCGUUUCAGAAAUUCCAUAAUCAUUUAUUGUGCAGUGCAGGAUGUUCAGUUCACACUGCCCACAACUUACAACCACCAUUUAUUUAUUGAGCAUGGAAUGUUUUGUUGCUUUCUUACUAUAAGUUUAAAGGUAUAAUCUUUACUCUUCACCUCAUUACAAUGAUCUAUAACCUUAAAUAUAAACAUGUCAAGUAAAAAUGAAGACGAGAGAGAGAACACAGGAUGUGUUAUACAGCUAACAGCCAAAGACUUUGCUGCUGCUAAGCUGU